rnacentral:tRNA from 1 species
CAGGGAGACAACAAAAUGUUUAAUAUUAUUAUUUUGUCACCUUAGGUCGAUCGGUAUCUCACGUUUUUAAUUUAUUAAGAAUUUCAUUUCCUAAGUUUUUCUAGGUCACACCCAUUAUUUUUCCUGGGCCAUUAGCUCAGGUGGUUAGAGCGCACCCCUGAUAAGGGUGAGGUCCCUGGUUCAAGUCCAGGAUGGCCCAUAUCUCUAUGUUGGGGGUAUAGCUCAGUUGGUAGAGCGCCUGCUUUGCAAGCAGGAUGUCAGCGGUUCGAGUCCGCUUACCUCCACUGAUCACCACCUCUUCCAUAACCGGUAGAAAGGAAAUUUUUUGAGUUGUGAUCAAAUUCUGAAAGAAUCUAGCUUCCUAAUGAAAUCAUUAAGAUGCUGGACUCAUUGAAUUAAUUUCAUUGUUUUCAGAGAACCUUGACAACUGCAUAGAUUAUUUUUAAAGACAAUAAGCAUCUUUAAUGAUGCAGAUUUAUUAUUUGUGCAAAUGCAUUAAUAACAAUUCUAUUAAGCUGAUGCUUCAAUAUUUGAAGUUAUUG